rnacentral:lncRNA from 1 species
UCGCUGAUCGGCGCACAGAGGAUCUUGUCCCCGAGCUGCGCCAGCAGAGCCAGCCGGGCGCCUCGCUCGGUCCGCUCGCCGCGCCGGAGAGAGCUGCCUGAGACGCAGCCAGCCAGCCAGCCGGCGCCACGCCGCCGAGCGCUCGGCCCCGGAGUCCCUGAGUGCGGCGCGGCGAGCCCCCAGCGGCGGCAGAAGGACUCGAGCGCCAGGAGAGGGCGGACGGGGGACGAGGAGGCUCCGGGGCGCGACGAAGAGAGUCUCCGAGGAAGAGGCUGCGAGAGGACACCCGGGCCUCCUGCCGCCACUGUCGGGUCGGGGCCAGCAGCUCAUGAGAGCAGCCCCGGCGGCCACCCGCGGCCAGGAGAAGGAGCACCGGAGGCCCCCACACUAGCCUGUGCCCUCGGGGGCGAGAGCUUGCGACCCGCCGGAGCCCGCCGCCGCGCCGCCCUCCCCCGCGCUGACAGCCCCCCGGGGCGCAGCCGCCGCCGCAGCAUCUUCUGUCCCUGCUUCCCCAGCGCGGAGGAAGUCCCCGCCGAGGACCUGGGCCCCCGGGAACGCAGGAGGAAAGACCAGAGACUCUAAAACACCCAGAUACGCAAGAUUGAAGCAGCCUAGCCAGACCUUUCUGUGGAUUAAAAGAAAUACGAUUUUUUUUUUUUUUUUGGCAGAAGAAAAGGAAAGGAAGACCGGCUGGGUUCAGCAAGGAAAAAAAGGGGGAUGUAACUCGUGGAUACGGUUUUUUUCCCCCACCCUUCCAACAUCUUGUUUUACUUUGUAAACAUUUUCUCUUUUAAACCCGGGCUCCAUCCGGUGCCCUCCAGACCUCCGAGGUGCGAGGAGGUGGUGUGUUUUUUCAUUGGGGGCUUUGCAUAUUUUGGUUUUGGGGGUUUUGAGAGACCCUCCAGACAUCUCACGAGGGGUGAAGUCUACUCGGUCCCCUCCCUCAAGUCUUCGCGUGCACAGAAUUCGAGGAGAUCCGGUUACUAAGGAUAU